rnacentral:lncRNA from 1 species
CGCUGUGAAGAAGGGGCAGGUAGACCGGGGUAGUCCCAUAGGAAGGGACAGCCCAGGGCUGGGUCCUGUGGUGGCAAAGCAGCAGAAGAUGAAGUCUGGGAUGGAUUAGGGCUUCACAAACAAGUAUGUAAGACUCUCCCAUGGGUGAACACAGGCUCUGAUGCUGAAGUAGAUGUCUGGGAAGUGAUGAGUUCUCCCUCAUCGCAGCAAGAUUUACGGCCAGGGUGGAAAGUGCUUUGGUUGGGGGGAUGGGGUGGGGUGUUGGGUUUAAAGAUCAGAAUGACCUUUGCUGUUGCCUUUCAUACCUCUGAUCAAGAGGCUCCUGGAAAUAAUGACCGUGCAACUCAAUCCGAUGAUGUCCCCGGGUCUCUGUUUCCACUGGUGCCCUUGGCAGGCAGUUCCCAGGAGAGCAGCCCAGCCAAGAACUGCAUGGGAACAACAGCUUCUGCUGGGGAUGUCUGCUGGCCAAAAAGCCUGGAAAAGGCAGCACAGUAACUUCUUCCAAUGAGAAUUAAAAGCGGAGGUUUCUCCGGCCAAGGGAAGCAAUCAGUCACCGAAAUCAAAAGAUCCGUCAUCAAAGUCGAAGGCGAGGAACGAAUAGCCUCCUAAAUCAGUCAAACAAUUUAAACAUCCCUUUUGUAAUUGGCAAUUCUGUAAUAUUUAUUCACAACAGAUCUGAUUGCCGGAUUCCCACUGGCUCCCCUCAG